UGCAAGUCGAGGGGCAGCAUCAUCAAAGCUUGCUUUGAUGGAUGGCGACCGGCGCACGGGUGAGUAACACGUAUCCAACCUGCCGACAACACUGGGAUAGCCUUUCGAAAGAAAGAUUAAUACCGGAUGGCAUAGUUUUCCCGCAUGGGAUAAUUAUUAAAGAAUUUCGGUUGUCGAUGGGGAUGCGUUCCAUUAGGCAGUUGGCGGGGUAACGGCCCACCAAACCUACGAUAGAUAGGGGUUCUGAGAGGAAGGUCCCCCACAUUGGAACUGAGACACGGUCCAAACUCCUACGGGAGGCAGCAGUGAGGAAUAUUGGUCAAUGGACGAGAGUCUGAACCAGCCAAGUAGCGUGAAGGAUGACUGCCCUAUGGGUUGUAAACUUCUUUUAUACGGGAAUAAAGUGAGCCACGUGUGGCUUUUUGUAUGUACCGUAUGAAUAAGGAUCGGCUAACUCCGUGCCAGCAGCCGCGGUAAUACGGAGGAUUCGAGCGUUAUCCGGAUUUAUUGGGUUUAAAGGGAGCGUAGGCGGGUUGUUAAGUCAGUUGUGAAAGUUUGCGGCUCAACCGUAAAAUUGCAGUUGAUACUGGCGACCUUGAGUGCAACAGAGGUAGGCGGAAUUCGUGGUGUAGCGGUGAAAUGCUUAGAUAUCACGAA
rnacentral:rRNA from 1 species